rnacentral:rRNA from 1 species
UACGUAGGGUGCGAGCGUUGCCCGGAUUUACUGGGCGUAAAGGGCGCGUAGGCGGUCGUGACAAGUCACUUGUGAAAUCUCCGGGCUUAACUCGGAACGGUCAAGUGAUACUGUCGGACUAGAGUACAGAAGGGGCAACUGGAAUUCUCGGUGUAGCGGUGAAAUGCGUAGAUAUCGAGAGGAACACCUGCGGCGAAGGCGGGUUGCUGGGCUGACACUGACGCUGAGGCGCGAAAGCUAGGGGAGCGAACGGG